rnacentral:lncRNA from 1 species
UUUUAUCCGUGGAAUGUUGUUAUUAUUAUUAUUAUUAUUAUUAGGGUUAAUUUUAUAUGUGUCGCUGUAAAUAUAGUGAAUGAGAAAUAUAUUCCUACAGCUAUCAUUUGGUUCGAGAUUAAAAAAAAACUAGUUAUUUCAGGGAUAGAGUUAAGUUCAGGAUUAAGGUGGGGUUAGAGUAUUUUUGUGUUUGGUUGGGAGUUGGAAUUAGUCCAAGAUAGUGAAAAAUAGUGUUUGGUUGGAGUAGGUGGGAUAAGAAGGAUAGUGAAUUAUUAUAAAUAGAAAAUAGUGUUUGGUUGGGAUUUGGUAGGAUUAGGUGGGGUUAGUUAAUCCAGAAUAGCCCAUUUGAGGUGGGAUUAGCUAACCCCAUCCAUUUUUAGUGGUGCUUGAGGAUAAUAUGGGGGUUAAGAGGUUAUUCCAUCCUUUAAUCCCCAACCAAACAUGGAUAAAGAUCAACUUUAAUAUAUUGAUUAUGUAAAAAUUCAGAUAUUUUUAAAUAUAUUCCUCUAGUUUGAUAUUAUUAGAGAGCCGUCAGAGAACGGUUUACAUUUUUAAUUUUACCAUCACAAAUGUAUUCUUUCAAAAGUCAUAAUACGGGAUAAAAAUAUCAAAAAUUAACCAGAAUUAAGUAUUUAAUCUAUAGUUAAUUUAAGUUUUCUAAAGUAUUCUAACGGCAGGAAUAUAUUUGAAAACAUUAAGACUUUUGUAGGGACAACAUAUAAAAGUUGAACUUUAUAUAAAUAUAUUUGUCAUUCAUUAUGUUUACACUUUGCAGUGACAUGUAUAAAAAUUAACCCUUAUUAUUAUUAUUUUUAGCCAUAAUUUAUGUAAUAU